GAUGAACGCUAGCUACAGGCUUAACACAUGCAAGUCGAGGGGAAACGGCAUUAAGUGCUUGCACUUUUUGGACGCCGACCGGCGCACGGGUGAGUAACGCGUAUCCAACCUUCCCAUGACUAAGGGAUAACCUGCCGAAAGGCAGACUAAUACCUUAUGGUCUUCACUGACGGCAUCAGAUGUGAAGUAAAGAUUUAUCGGUUAUGGAUGGGGAUGCGUCUGAUUAGCUUGUUGGCGGGGUAACGGCCCACCAAGGCAACGAUCAGUAGGGGUUCUGAGAGGAAGGUCCCCCACAUUGGAACUGAGACACGGUCCAAGCUCCUACGGGAGGCAGCAGUGAGGAAUAUUGGUCAAUGGGCGAGAGCCUGAACCAGCCAAGUAGCGUGCAGGAUGACGGCCCUAUGGGUUGUAAACUGCUUUUGUAUGGGGAUAAAGUCAGUCACGUGUGAUUGUUUGCAGGUACCAUACGAAUAAGGACCGGCUAAUUCCGUGCCAGCAGCCGCGGUAAUACGGAAGGUCCGGGCGUUAUCCGGAUUUAUUGGGUUUAAAGGGAGCGUAGGCUGGAGAUUAAGUGUGUUGUGAAAUGUAGACGCUCAACGUCUGACUUGCAGCGCAUACUGGUUUCCUUGAGUACGCACAACGUUGGCGGAAUUCGUCGUGUAGCGGUGAAAUGCUUAGAUAUGACGAAGAACUCCGAUUGCGAAGGCAGCUGACGGGAGCGCAACUGACGCUGAAGCUCGAAGGUGCGGGUAUCGAACAGG
rnacentral:rRNA from 1 species